ensembl:lncRNA
AGCGCGGGGGAGAGAGGAGCCAGCAGACGCCGAGACGGCCUCUUCCCUCAGCGGUGACCUCAGUGCAGUGCCUGCCAGCCUCCUUCAAACCAGCUCGUUGCUUUCUCUGAAGCAGUUUCCCGAAGCCAUCGACAUCCUCUUUCAUUAGCAAAACCACUCCUGAAGAACCCUUCUGCACCCUGGGAGUGCGGCGUGGCCACGAGGGUUGGUGUCCCACCCCAAAUUACCGGGGCUUCAUCCUGCAAGCAGUGCCGCACUCAUCGUCUUCCCUGGACUUUAUAUGGGGUUACAUCUCCUCGGGGUGCCCCCGUGUGCCUCAGCACAGCGUCUCUCCCUCGGCCGAGCAGCUCCCUGUGGUUGUUGUUGAUGGUGCUUAAUGAUUUUAACCCCAAACACCUGAACAGGCUUUGAGCAGAGCUCAGAUGGAAACACGCAGCCCUACAAGGCAGGGAAAUACGCCGAUUUCCAGCGUUUUCUGCACGAAGCCAUCCAUGCAGGAGCCCUGGGGCGCCCAGGGAGACCACCGGCGAUGGGAGAACCGGAGCUAAAAGCAAAGCUCGGCUUCCCAACGGCAGCGCGUCCUUCUCGGCUCUUCGCGUGGCUUUUGGGGGUUGUGCAGCACCGGAUGGAGGGAAGUGUUUCAUAUAGACAGAUAAGUUUGAAAAACAGCUCAGAAAUCACCCAGCCAGACCCACCCCCCAGUGGAUGGGGGGGAUCGGUGCCAGCUCUGUCAGCACCGCUGUCGGGCAGAGCGGCGCGGAGCGGAGCGCAUCCGCCCGCACUGCCGGAGCCGCGGGGUUGGGGGGGGGAGGCGGGCAGAGCAGCCCCCACCGCGCAGCCCCCC